CUGUUAUUGAAAGGUAAAUCUGCUACUCUGGUGACUCGGUCCCUCUGGUCACUAUUCUCCAACCCUCGAUUGUCAGCUGAAUAUUCAGGGAAGAUUUUUAUGGAAGCGCAUUAACCAGACACACACUCUUUGCUUUCCAUAAUCUUCUGACAAUGUAUUCAAAAUGCUCUGUACUUAUACAAUAUUUGUCACAAAUAUUGGUUACAAAAGGUUACAAAAAGGUUACACAAGAUACAUAAAAGAGGAAGCAGUUUCUGCUGUUACAUUCAAUAAUCUAAUCUUACAAAAUAUCACAUACACAUUGUGGUUAGGCAUUUCCUGAUACAUAGAAACUGUCAUAGUUUGUGACUUCCUUUCAGUUAUGUUUUGCAAGUAGUUCUGAAAUACUGACAGAUUAAUUGUUUAACCCCUUAAGGACCAAAUUUCUGGAAUAAAAGGGAAUCAUGACAUGUCAUGUGUCCUUAAGGGGUCAAUAUUCCUUCA